CUACAGGCUUAACACAUGCAAGUCGAGGGCCAUCAGGAAGAAAGCUUGCUUUCUUUGCUGGCGACCGGCGCACGGGUGAGUAACACGUAUCCAACCUGCCCUUUACUCGGGGAUAGCCUUUCGAAAGAAAGAUUAAUACCCGAUAGCAUAAUGAUUCCGCAUGGUUUCAUUAUUAAAGGAUUCCGGUAAAAGAUGGGGAUGCGUUCCAUUAGGUUGUUGGUGAGGUAACGGCUCACCAAGCCUUCGAUGGAUAGGGGUUCUGAGAGGAAGGUCCCCCACAUUGGAACUGAGACACGGUCCAAACUCCUACGGGAGGCAGCAGUGAGGAAUAUUGGUCAAUGGGCGGUAGCCUGAACCAGCCAAGUAGCGUGAAGGAUGAAGGCUCUAUGGGUCGUAAACUUCUUUUAUAUAAGAAUAAAGUGCAGUAUGUAUACUGUUUUGUAUGUAUUAUAUGAAUAAGGAUCGGCUAACUCCGUGCCAGCAGCCGCGGUAAUACGGAGGAUCCGAGCGUUAUCCGGAUUUAUUGGGUUUAAAGGGAGCGUAGGUGGACUGGUAAGUCAGUUGUGAAAGUUUGCGGCUCAACCGUAAAAUUGCAGUUGAUACUGUCAGUCUUGAGUACAGUAGAGGUGGGCGGAAUUCGUGGUGUAGCGGUGAAAUGCUUAGAUAUCACGAAGAACUCCGAUUGCGAAGGCAGCUCACUGGACUGCAACUGACACUGAUGCUCGAAAGUGCGGGUAUCAAACAGGAUUAGAUACCCUGGUAGUCCACACAGUAAACGAUGAAUACUCGCUGUUUGCGAUAUGCAGUAAGCGGCCAAGCGAAAGCAUUAAGUAUUCCACCUGGGGAGUACGCCGGCAACGGUGAAACUCAAAGGAAUUGACGGGGGCCCGCACAAGCGGAGGAACAUGUGGUUUAAUUCGAUGAUACGCGAGGAACCUUACCCGGGCUUAAAUUGCAGUGGAAUGAUGUGGAAACAUGUCAGUGAGCAAUCACCGCUGUGAAGGUGCUGCAUGGUUGUCGUCAGCUCGUGCCGUGAGGUGUCGGCUUAAGUGCCAUAACGAGCGCAACCCUUAUCUUUAGUUACUAACAGGUCAUGCUGAGGACUCUAGAAAGACUGCCGUCGUAAGAUGUGAGGAAGGUGGGGAUGACGUCAAAUCAGCACGGCCCUUACGUCCGGGGCUACACACGUGUUACAAUGGGGGGUACAGAAGGCAGCUAGCGGGUGACCGUAUGCUAAUCCCAAAAGCCUCUCUCAGUUCGGAUCGAAGUCUGCAACCCGACUUCGUGAAGCUGGAUUCGCUAGUAAUCGCGCAUCAGCCACGGCGCGGUGAAUACGUUCCCGGGCCUUGUACACACCGCCCGUCAAGCCAUGGGAGCCGGGGGUACCUGAAGUACGUAACCGCAAGGAUCGUCCUAGGGUAAAACUGGUA
rnacentral:rRNA from 1 species